CACGUAGUUAGCCGGGGCUUCUUAGUCAGGUACCGUCAUUUUCUUCCCUGCUGAUAGAAGUUUACAUACCGAAAUACUUCUUCCUUCACGCGGCGUCGCUGCAUCAGGGUUUCCCCCAUUGUGCGAUAUUCCCCACUGCUGCCUCCCGUAGGAGUUUGGGCCGUGUCUCAGUCCCAAUGUGGCCGUUCACCCUCUCAGGCCGGCUACUGAUCGUCGCCUUGGUGAGCCCUUACCUCACCAACCAGCUAAUCAGACGCGGGUCCAUCUCAUACCACCGGAGUUUUUCACACCGUCCCAUGCGAGACCGUGCGCUUAUGCGGUAUUAGCAGUCAUUUCUAACUGUUAUCCCCCUGUAUGAGGCAGGUUACCCACGCGUUACUCACCCGUCCGCCACUCAGUCAAAUAAGACUUCAAACCGAAGUAAUCCGUCUUAAGUGCUUCGUUCGACUUGCAUGUGUUAAGCACGCCGCCAGCGUUCAUCCUGAGCCAGGAUCAAACCUCU
rnacentral:rRNA from 1 species